GAUGAACGCUGGCGGCGUGCCUAAUACAUGCAAGUCGAGCGGCGCGGGGAGGGGUGAGUAACACGUGGGGAACCUCCUAUAAGACUGGGGUAACUUCGGGAAACCGGAGGUAAAACGGAUACUUAUACCUGGAUCCGCGCGCCAUUAGCUGGUUGGAAAGCUAACGGCUUACCAAGGCGACGAUGCAUAGCCGACCUGAGAGGGUGAUCGGCCACACUGGAACUGAGACACGGUCCAGACUCCUACGGGAGGCAGCAGUAGGGAAUCUUCCACAAUGGGCGCAAGCCUGACGCAGCAACGCCGCGUGAGUGAUGAAGGUCUUCGGAUCGUAAAACUCUGUUAUCAGGGAAGCGGUACCUAAACAGAAAGCCCCGGCUAACUACGUGCCAGCAGCCGCGGUAAUAC
rnacentral:rRNA from 1 species